rnacentral:rRNA from 1 species
UACGUAGGUGGCAAGCGUUGUCCGGAUUUAUUGGGUUUAAGGGUGCGUAGGCGGUCUUAUAAGUCAGUUGUGAAAUAUGGCAGCUUAACUGUCAAGGUGCAAUUGAUACUGUAAGACUUGAGUACUGUUGAGGUAGGCGGAAUGGACGGUGUAGCGGUGAAAUGCUUAGAGAUCGUCCAGAACACCGAUAGCGAAGGCAGCUUACUAAAGAGUAACUGACGCUGAGGCACGAAAGUGUGGGGAUCAAACAGG